CCCUUUUCUUGCCCUUUUCCCCUCUUUCUUAUUUGCAUCAAAUGAACUGUAAUUUUCUCCAGUAUCCCCUUCUGUGAUUUUUUAUUGAUCCCCUCGCAGUCCACAUGUUCAUAUCCAUGUAUCAACCAGACAAAGUAGGGAACCAACUUUCAGACCUAGUAAGCCCAGCAGCUCUCAUUUGUCCAUUAGUAUUGGUAGGACUAGAUGGGGUUGAUCUUAAUCCUCUUGGCGAAUCCAAACUUCUUCUAAGAAUCUGUCUCAUAGCAGAUAUCAAAUGGAUAGUUGGGUCAGGAGGAGGGCCAGAGGACACAAAUUUCUUGCAGAAGUUCAUGUGCCUAGCCAUGGCUUCUUCUGUGCUGAUAAGCCUCUCUGUUGCCCUCACAAUCUCAUCUUUUACAGCUUCUGCACAUAGCCCACAAAUCCAUUUUCCAUGGUAUCUCUCCCUUACUCUUUCAAUGUAAGCUGGCG
rnacentral:misc_RNA from 1 species